CGCGGCCUAUCAGCUUGUUGGUGGGGUGAUGGCCUACCAAGGCGACGACGGGUAGCCGGCCUGAGAGGGUGACCGGCCACACUGGGACUGAGACACGGCCCAGACUCCUACGGGAGGCAGCAGUGGGGAAUAUUGCACAAUGGGCGGAAGCCUGAUGCAGCGACGCCGCGUGGGGGAUGACGGCCUUCGGGUUGUAAACCCCUUUCGCCCGGGACGAAGCGAGAGUGACGGUACCGGGAGAAGAAGCACCGGCCAACGACGUGCCAGCAGCCGCGGUAAUACGUAGGGUGCAAGCGUUGUCCGGAAUUAUUGGGCGUAAAGAGCUCGUAGGCGGCUUGUCGCGUCUGCUGUGAAAACGCAAGGCUUAACCUUGCGCCUGCAGUGGGUACGGGCAGGCUAGAGUGCGGUAGGGGAGACUGGAAUUCCUGGUGUAGCGGUGGAAUGCGCAGAUAUCAGGAGGAACACCGGUGGCGAAGGCGGGUCUCUGGGCCGUUACUGACGCUGAGGAGCGAAAGCAUGGGGAGCGAACAGGAUUAGAUACCCUGGUAGUCCAUGCCGUAAACGUUGGGCACUAGGUGUGGGAUCCAUUCCACGGGUUCCGUGCCGCAGCUAACGCAUUAAGUGCCCCGCCUGGGGAGUACGG
rnacentral:rRNA from 1 species